rnacentral:rRNA from 1 species
UACGGAGGGUGCGAGCGUUGUCCGGAAUCAUUGGGCGUAAAGGGCGCGUAGGUGGCCCGGUCAGUCUUUGGUGAAAGCGCGGGGCUCAACCCUGCGUCGGCCAGGGAUACUGCCGCGGCUGGAGCACUGUAGAGGCAGGCGGAAUUCCGGGUGUAGCGGUGGAAUGCGCAGAUAUCAGGAGGAACACCGAUUGCGAAGGCAGCUCGCUGGGACGUUACUGACGCUGAGACGCGAAAGCGUGGGGAGCAAACAGG